rnacentral:piRNA from 1 species
UGACAACGUUCAUGUAUUGGUCCGCCUU